ACUGAAAGGAGACUUUAGAGAAGAGCUGACAGAAGAGAUUCAUUCUAGGAUCUCUCCAUUCUCACCACACCAUGGACAAGCCUAGUUCCAUGUGCAACAUUCAGUAUUGGAUGAUCUGGAUUCAGUACAGAAAGCCUGGACUUUUGAGCCUAAACAGGAUCUGAAGCAGAAGGAUGAAAAACAGAUCAACCAACAACAAGAAUCAACCAUCUUGGUUUCUCAUUUGUCAAUAAUGGGCAAUAGUCCUGCCCACAUAUCAGGGAAUGUAUAUGCCAUAAUUAAAUACUAAUGCUUCUAUCUUCUCUAGAGAAUUUGUUCCUUUAUGUGAAAAAUAUUAUUUCUUCUUAAUAAGCAAUGUAUGACAAUUGAGGAGGCAUAAAAAUUAGAGAAAAAUAAAAAGGAAAAUGUCUGUAGUUGCACAUUAUAUCAUAAGUAAUCUGCAUUUUAUUGUUUUUGUGAUACUCUAGAAAUGGAUAUGUUUUAGUAAACCUAAUUUAACUCAUUAAUCCAUCUGGAAUUUCCUUUGUAAUAUUUUAUAAAAUGUGAAUCGAGACUGAUAAAUGUUCUAAAUAGUCAAAUUUGCUAAACCUUUUAUAAACUGUUUUCCUUU
ensembl:lncRNA novel transcript